rnacentral:sRNA from 1 species
ACAUCCCAGAAUCCUAAACGAUUGGAAAACACUGUUUUACCAGUUAAAAUAUUUCCGCCACUUUUUCAUCAGAAACCGACUGGCCGCCAUCAAGCGCAUCCGCCUGCCGCCGAAGCAUCUCUGCCCUCAGUUUCUCAAACGCACGCUGGAUCCUCUCCUUUGACUCAGGGUCCUUCCCUAUUGUCCUCCGGGCGGAAUAAACGCCAGUGAUAAGUCCCGUUUCUCCACCCAUAAACAACCCCCCAGCUGCGAACAAUGUAAACAUCGCCAUGUCGCUGAGUAUUGUGGGUCGGAGCAGAGGGCUCAGAUCAGGAACCGGCUCUUGUCCAAAGUAGAUACGAAGGAAUUGUUAGUUCAAACCUAUCAAAUAAUCCCUAAGGAAGAUCUUUUUUUCAUCUUUGUCAUUCCUACCUAGCCUGCCGCUUGCAAACUGCACAUGAGUGGGCCUCUCCAUAACCUUGAAUGUAUUGAAUAUAUUCAUCCGCAUUCGCCGGACCCGUAAACCUAACCAUAUUCCCAGCCCAAUACCAACGACAGAACCGACGGCAGUGUGUGUUGCUAGCUUCGAUGCGGCGGAAUUCAGGGUAUCACGGUCCGAUUGCUGGAGAUUAUGCUUCAGAUGUUCCCGCGCCAGAUAGGCAAGCUCCUGGCGGGUCGUGCCGCGGAAGGCCGCGAGCGAAUCGGGCAUUUUGUUUCUAGAUCUUUAUUUUCCGGCUUACUUUAACGGGAUAUAGAUAUGGUACCCUUGGAAAUUGGGAAGGAAAGGCGUAUUCGCGACCAAUUCAAUUAUGGCCAUAAUUUCAUAAUGGUUAUGGUGAUGACGGUUGAGCAGGCGGAGCUAUAUAAGAUCCUGAAUCUGUGACGUCAUCACGCAAGCUUCUGAGAUCCAGACCUAGCUUGGUACUUUAACAUUUCGUUCAUGAUUUUAAUAGCGUUGCCCAAAGAGAACGUCGUAUCUUGAAACAAAUUAAAUUUGAAUGCGGAGAAGAUACUAUUGAUAUUUAACCGUUGGUCUUUCAGGUGAUAUAUGAAACCUCUUCUUUUGAGGCCCAUGACAGCUAACCCGACUGCUCCUGCCAACCGCGUUGCUGGUAAGUGAUUAUUGAAUGUCCAUUGGAAACUAAAUGCAGUCAAUCUUUCCAGCAGCCAUCGUUACUCUACCCCUUAAUAGACCAGAGAAGCAGCAACAAAAAUGCUUACGUUCCAAAUUGGGCGAAUCGUUAGGAUGAUGAAAUACGUCCCCGUUCCCGGCGACCGAGGAAUUCCUCCUACCCCUCAAGAUCCCUACUUUCAUGGAUCUCUAAGUUGCACUCUUCUGAUAUUCUUGGGCAUAUCGAGAUGAUUCACUUGACGAAAAGACAGCAUAUUAACCAUUAACCCAAGGCAUAAGAGAACUAGUAAUACUUAUGUUCCCUUGAGAGUGAAAUGAUUGGCCAAGUAACUUUUACUUUCCGGCCUGUUCAACUCGACAAGCAGAUUCGGUGGGGUCUUAAAAUCCCCUAAGGGAGGGUUUCUCGAACCUAACUCGAGCUUGCGGAUGCAAGAAGGGAAGUGGCUUGUUCCCGUGGUAUAUACGAUUUUUGUUAUAAAGUUUGAGUCCUUCCCUAUUUGAAGCUCAUUCCACGAAUUUUGCUUAGAUAGAUUGGAUAUAAAGAUUCUGGUGGAAAGGCAAAAUAGAUAAGCAAAUAAGAUUGGUUUCUAUGACGGGAUAGCCAUUACUUGUGGAGCGGUGGAUGGGUAGCCAGAUCUCCACGGCGUGAUAGAUGCUGCUAAAAACUUGGAUAGCAAGUAGCCUAUGAUAUCAUACG